rnacentral:rRNA from 1 species
AACGAAGGGAGUGAGAGUAUUUUAUUGGGUUGUAAUUAGUUUUAGGGAUGGUUGAAUUAGGGUAUUUGUUAGGUGAAAUUUUAAAGUUUUAGUUAACCAAGAAUUGAAUGAAUGAAGUUAUGAAGAUUGGAUGUAAAACUGGGAUUAGAUACCCCAUUAUUCCAAACGUUAAGUGAAACCCAGAGUAGUAAUAGUUAAGUUCUCAAAACUCAAAGAAUUUGGCGGUGUUUUAAUCCAACCAGAGGAACCUGCCCCGUAAUCGAUAUCCCACGUUUACUUAACUUAGUCUGGUUUAGCUUGUAUACCGCCGUCAGAAGGGGGAUUUUAGAAAAUACCCUCAGGAUUUAGAAUUAAAGUGAAUGUCAGGUCAAGGUGCAGUUUAUGGCUAAGGGGAGGUGGGUUACAAUAGUUUCAACUAAACGGAUUCUUAUUUGUAAUUGUGAGGAGAAGGUGGAUUUGGGGGUAAUGAAAUAUAAGAUGAUUUUAUGAUUAUGGCUCUAAAACAAGCACACAUCGCCCGUCGCUCUCGUUUUAAGGCGAG